rnacentral:rRNA from 1 species
UUCCGGGUUGAUCCCGCCGGAGACUACUGGCUAUCAGGGUUCGGUUAAGCCAUGCGAGUCGAGAGGUGUAAGACCUCGGCGCACUGCUCAGUAACACGUAGCUAACUUACCCUAAAGUGGAGGAUAACCUUGGGAAACUGAGAACAAUACUCCAUAGAUGAUUGAUGCUGGAAAGCGCUUUCAUUGAAAGGUAACGCUUUAGGAUAGGGCUGCGGCCUAUCAGCCUGUUGUUGGGGUAAAAGCCCAACAAAGCUAUGACGGGUACGGGUCAUGAGAGUGAUUGCCCGGAGAUGGAUUCUGAGACAUGAAUCCAGGCCCUACGGGGCGCAGCAGGCGCGAAAACUUCUCAAUGGGCGAAAGCCUGAAGAGGGAACCUUGAGUGAUAUCGGCUAAGCCGGUAUCUUUUCUUUACUGUAAACAAGUAGAGGAAUAAGUGGUGGGCAAGACGGUUGCCAGCCGCCGCGGUAAUAACCGCGCCACGAGUUGUAGUCACGAUUAUUGGGUCUAAAGCAUCCGUAGCUGGUUUGACAAGUCUUCGGUGAAAUCCGACAGUAAACUGUUGGGCGUGCCGAAGAUACUAUCAGACUAGAGACUGGGAGAGGUCUGGAGUACUUCGGAGGUAGGGGUAAAAUCCUUUAAUCUCCGAGGGACUACCUGUGGCGAAGGCGCCAGACUAGAACAGAUCUGACAGUGAGGGAUGAAAGCUAGGGGAGCGAUCGGGAUUANAUACCCCNGGUAGUCCUAGCUGUAAACGAUGCCCNCUNGGGGGUNACAAAUCUUANCGAAUCUGUUGUGCCNUAANUGAANACNUUAAANCGGGCCCCCUGGGGGGAGUACCAACCNCCAAGGNUGNAANCUUAAGGGAAUUGGGCGGGGGGANCCCCUACCAGGGGGGGGGGGCUGGGGUUCAAUUNGAAUUCA